GAUGAACGCUGGCGGCGUGCUUAACUCAUGCAAGUCGAACGGGAAACCUUUUAUUGAAGCUUCGGCAGAUUUAGCUGGUUUCUAGUGGCGGACGGGUGAGUAACGCGUGGGUAACCUGCCUUAUACAGGGGGAUAACAGUCAGAAAUGGCUGCUAAUACCGCAUAAGCGCACAGAGCUGCAUCGCUCAGUGUGAAAAACUCCGGUGGUAUAAGAUGGACCCGCGUUGGAUUAGCUGGUUGGUGGGGUAACGGCCCACCAAGGCGACGAUCCAUAGCCGGCCUGAGAGGGUGAACGGCCACAUUGGGACUGAGACACGGCCCAGACUCCUACGGGAGGCAGCAGUGGGGAAUAUUGCACAAUGGGGGAAACCCUGAUGCAGCGACGCCGCGUGAAGGAAGAAGUAUCUCGGUAUGUAAACUUCUAUCAGCAGGGAAGAUAAUGACGGUACCUGACUAAGAAGCCCCGGCUAACUACGUG
rnacentral:rRNA from 1 species